GGCGGCAUGCUUAACACAUGCAAGUCGAACGGAAACGAUGAAGAGCUUGCUCUUCAGGCGUCGAGUGGCGGACGGGUGAGUAAUGCAUAGGAAUCUGCCCAGUAGCGGGGGACAACUUGGGGAAACUCAAGCUAAUACCGCAUACGCCCUACGGGGGAAAGCAGGGGAUCUUCGGACCUUGCACUAUUGGAUGAGCCUAUGUCAGAUUAGCUUGUUGGUGGGGUAAUGGCCUACCAAGGCGACGAUCUGUAGCUGGUCUGAGAGGACGAUCAGCCACACUGGGACUGAGACACGGCCCAGACUCCUACGGGAGGCAGCAGUGGGGAAUAUUGCACAAUGGGCGAAAGCCUGAUGCAGCAAUGCCGCGUGUGUGAAGAAGGCCUGCGGGUUGUAAAGCACUUUCAGUAGGGAGGAAACAGCAAUGGGCUAAUACCCUGUUGCCUUGACGUUACCUACAGAAGAAGCACCGGCUAACUCUGUGCCAGCAGCCGCGGUAAUACAGAGGGUGCAAGCGUUAAUCGGAAUUACUGGGCGUAAAGCGCGCGUAGGCGGCUUGGUCAGUCGGAUGUGAAAGCCCCGGGCUUAACCUGGGAAUUGCAUUCGAUACUGCCUGGCUAGAAUGUAGUAGAGGGAAGUGGAAUU
rnacentral:rRNA from 1 species